GUGCAAAGCAGUGCAGUGCAGAGGGAGCUGAGCUCGGAGCGGCGCUAUAUUAUGCUCUCACUACACACACACACACACACACACGAUGGACGUGUAGUCCUUUAUUCAGAUCGUCAUUAGAUCUGAUUGAAAUGGAUUUAUAAGAGGAUCACCUGCGGUGGGACACUGCGUGGAUCUGACUCCUGUGACGUGACCGAGCUCAGGGAGACAAAGCAGGAGCGCUGUUGCUGCAGGACGCCGACUCUUCGCACUUGACCUCAGGAUCCUUCGCUGACCUACAGUGGAGUCACAUGACCAGAAGGACAUGAUGAUGUCAAGACCAACAACAGUAACAACGUGUUAAACAAUCUGUGUGUUUGGCUCAGAUUAAUGUUUAGAAGUGUCAGUAAAAGUGAGUGUAUUUUGCUUCUACACUACAGGAAUUCUAAUUCAUGAAUCUGCAGGUACAAACGUUUCAGAAUUUUAAAAAAAAAGGGAAAACUUUACAACAUACAUUUCGUGUCAUUCUGUCUUUCUUUUUUGUUUAAGCUAAUAAUUCAUUCAAAAAUAUUACAUCGUUAUAGGACGUGAGACUACGUCUGAAAAUGGAACGGACCAGAAAAAUGUGAUUUAAGAAGGGAAAGCAGACAAAUGUGUGCUGCUUUACUGUCCGAGCGCUCAUUAAGACAUGUGCUAAAAAUAGCACAUGUCUGUGUGGAGUCCCCAUUAUUGAGAGCCCACUGAUUAUCUCAGUAUUAAGGCAACAAAAGCCCUCAGCUUAUCUCCUCUGUCUCCAUGUCAUCAGUGUGCCGUCUUCAUCCUCCACAGCAGAGGACCGGCUGUUUGUGACCUCAGUGCUAAAUCAAGUUCAGAGGGGACCGCUGGUGUUUGGCAGAUAGUUUUACACGAGGGCAGUGGGAGAACAGUGUGUUUGGUCAACCUCUGGCUUCCUCUUUGAUUCGCAGCUCACUGUGACCUCUGGCAGAGCAACACCACUUAAGGCCAUUCAUUCCGUCGCAGUGGUCAGUCUGAUAAGAUCUGGCUGAUAACAGACUCUACUUUAAGUCUCUGUGAAGUGGACAAGUUUGUCUUUAUCAGCUAGAGUUUGGCACGGAGCGCAGCCUUCUUCAUACAUGGUUACACUUGCAAGAAACUUUUCACUUUGUCAAGUGAAGAAGGUGUUUGGAUACCCGAGCCGUGACCCACACUGUCACUGAACAAGACUUUCACUCAGGACCUUGUUAAUCAUGUAAUAUGGCUCGCAUUAAAUUAUU